rnacentral:rRNA from 1 species
AUUGAACGCUGGCGGCAUGCCUUACACAUGCAAGUCGAACGGUAACGCGGGGCAACCUGGCGACGAGUGGCGAACGGGUGAGUAAUACAUCGGAACGUGCCCAGUAAUGGGGGAUAGCCCGGCGAAAGCCGGAUUAAUACCGCAUACGACCUAAGGGUGAAAGAGGGGGAUCGCAAGACCUCUCGUUAUUGGAGCGGCCGAUGGCAGAUUAGGUAGGUGGUGGGGUAAAGGCCUACCAAGCCGACGAUCUGUAGCUGGUCUGAGAGGACGACCAGCCACACUGGGACUGAGACACGGCCCAGACUCCUACGGGAGGCAGCAGUGGGGAAUUUUGGACAAUGGACGCAAGUCUGAUCCAGAAAUGCCGCGUGCGGGAAGAAGGCCUUCGGGUUGUAAACCGCUUUUGUCAGGGAAGAAAUCUUCUGGGUUAAUACCUCGGGAGGAUGACGGUACCUGAAGAAUAAGCACCGGCUAACUACGUGCCAGCCGCCGCCGUAACAC